rnacentral:rRNA from 1 species
AGAGUUUGAUCCUGGCUCAGGAUGAACGCUAGCGGCAGGCCUAACACAUGCAAGUCGAGGGAGAAGCCCUUCGGGGCAGAAACCGGCGCACGGGUGCGUAACGCGUAUGCAACCUACCUUUCACAGGGGGAUAGCCCGAAGAAAUUUGGAUUAAUACCCCAUAAUAUUGCGAGAUGGCAUCAUUUUGCAAUUAAAACUACGGUGGUGAAAGAUGGGCAUGCGUCCUAUUAGCUAGUUGGAGUGGUAACGGCACCCCAAGGCUACGAUAGGUAGGGGUCCUGAGAGGGAGAUCCCCCACACUGGUACUGAGACAGGGACCAGACUCCUACGGGAGGCAGCAGUGAGGAAUAUUGGUCAAUGGUCGGAAGACUGAACCAGCCAUGCCGCGUGCAGGAAGAAUGCCUUAUGGGUUGUAAACUGCUUUUAUAUGGGAAGAAUAAGGUGUACGAGUACAUUGAUGACGGUACCAUAUGAAUAAGCAUCGGCUAACUCCGUGCCAGCAGCCGCGGUAAUACGGAGGAUGCGAGCGUUAUUCGGAAUCAUUGGGUUUAAAGGGUCUGUAGGCGGGCUAUUAAGUCAGGGGUGAAAGGUUUCAGCUUAACUGAGAAAUUGCCUUUGAUACUGGUAGUCUUGAAUAUCUGUGAAGUUCUUGGAAUGUGUAGUGUAGCGGUGAAAUGCUUAGAUAUUACACAGAACACCGAUUGCGAAGGCAGGGGACUAACAGACAAUUGACGCUGAGAGACGAAAGCGUGGGGAGCGAACAGGAUUAGAUACCCUGGUAGUCCACGCUGUAAACG